UAAGGUUACCUAGGUUUAGACAGAACCAAAACCGCAGUCGACAGUUAGAAUUGAACUUGCCUAAUCACAGACAGCAAACAGGGACCUUUCAAACAAUAUGCAGAUGAGAGAGUGCAACUCGCUUCCGUGGUUCGGCCGGGAUCCAAUACUUAAAAGAAGCGAAGUAGGAAACCCUAUUAACACAUAAUCAAUACUGCGAGAAGGUUAAGUUAUCCUUUGUCCCAAACCCAGUGCCGAUUCGAGGAAAAGCCAAGAUGAGGUUAACUCUGGCCAGACAAAGAACUGUAUUGGUAGAUACUUUAGCUUGCAAGCAAGGUAAGGUUGAGGAGAGAGAUCAAAACGGGAAUGUUCAAUCAAUGGGCG
rnacentral:sRNA from 2 species